UCAAAGUACUCAGAGCAUUUGCUGAAGAAAAACAAAGCCCAGAUCAUGAGCUUGCAACGGAAGUGCAGAGAACAGAAGACAUUUGUCCUCCGUCUAAAAUGGUUUUCCAGCAUGAGAAUAAGUUUGUUAAUUGCCUAGCCUGAUAAUUUUCAUAUUAAUCCCUUGUUUGUAAUAUAAUGGACAUAUAUAGUGCAGAAUUAUGUUUUUGUGGUUUAGAACAU
rnacentral:lncRNA from 1 species